rnacentral:rRNA from 1 species
UACGGGGGUGCAAGCGUUGUUCGGAAUUAUUGGGCGUAAAGAGCGUGUAGGCGGCUUGGUAAGUCAGAUGUGAAAGCCCCGGGCUUAACCCGGGAAGUGCAUUUGAAACUGCCUGGCUAGAGUAGGGGAGAGGGAAGUGGAAUUCCUGGUGUAGAGGUGAAAUUCGUAGAUAUCAGGAGGAACACCGGUGGCGAAGGCGACUUCCUGGCCCUAUACUGACGCUGAGACGCGAGAGCGUGGGUAGCAAACAGGAUUAGAUACCCUGGUAGUCCCUGAG